rnacentral:ncRNA from 1 species
CCGUUACAACGGCUUCCUGGCGUAACGGAGUGUAGCUGCAAUGGAGCG